ACUUUUGUAGCUCAGUUGGUUAAAGCGCUGUACAGGAACAGCAGAGGCGGAGGUUCAAUUCCUGCCAGAAUUA